ACCUGUACCGGCUCUGCCCCUUCCAGAGAGUGACCCAGAGACCCAAAAACGGCGGCGCCGAGACCAACCUGGGGCUCUGGGGCUCCUGGGCCGGACCCGAAGGUGACAAAUUCGGAGCCCAGAAAUACGAGGGGGGCACGGGGUGCUGGCAGGGACCCAACAGAGCCACCACGGUGCGGCUCAGGUGUGGCCCGGACACGGCGGUGACGGCGGCGACGGAGCCGAGCCGCUGCGAGUACCUGCUGGAACUGGAGACACCUGCGGCCUGCAGGGAGCCCCCACCUGUGCACGAGGAGCACGACGAGCUCUGAGCCCAAAAUGUCCCAAAAAUAUCCCAAAAUUAUCCCAAAAUAUCCC